GUAAAUUUCAGAGGCAAUAUUCGAUUGGGAUCAGGUUGUCUAAAUUCAAUGAGACUUUAAAGAUCCUGGGAAUUUGGGUUGUGCCCUCAGAAUCACAGCCAAGGAUUGCAGAUUUGCAGGGCCAGGGUAGAAAGAAAAUCCCAUUUGUAUUUGUAACUUUCGACUCUGAAAAUAAUAUAAAUAAAUCAGAAAAACCAUCAACCACACCCCUUCUUCUCAAGAGGUCAGAUAAGAGGUGAACCUAAUGGUGGGCCCAGAUCUAGUUCAGGGCUUGGGUACCUAGGAAGCCUACCAGUGAAUAGCGAGUGCCAUAGUCACCAGCCAAUGAGCAUAAGUUGAAUUAGGAAUGCAAAUCAGCAUAAGUUAUUAAUGAACCUUAAACAAAUGUAAGAACUAUUAACAAGACCCAAGCACUAACCAUAAUUUCCUUGAGAAAUCAAGUCAUGCAGGAUGAGGUUAGGCCUUUGCUACCUAAAAGCUUUUAAAUCUUCACAAUUCUUUCUGUUUUUUCUAUGUACAAAAUAAACAGGGAAAUCUGGGCCCCAAAUGCAGACUGCAAUGCUCAUGCUGAUAAGUUAAAAGGUAAGGAAUUGCAAGGGGAAGCCAUUUUAAUGGCUAAAUUAGAUCGAUAUCCACCCGUUCUGGAUUUCCUCUUUCAGUCUGGUUGUCCACAAGUUCUAUACCCAGCUGCCCUUUGUCUCCUGCUCCGAAUGCAUACAGUUUUCCAGAUUCAGUAAGUGCAAAUGUGUGAGCAUUCCAGUAUAUGGAAUUGGUGAGGCUGAUCUGUACCACUCGCUCAUUCACUUCUUUCAGUGAUGUUACUAAUUCUGGGCUCAACACAUUAGCAUGCCUAUUUCCCUGUCCAUCAGCAACAGCAGCAGCAGCAGCAUUAUUAUGUCCAAGACUGGCCGAUUCCCCACAACCAAAUGAGUAUACAUCACCCUCAUCAGAAACCACAAAGGUCGUGUAAUCCCCUGUAGCAACAUGAACAGCUUUGACCUUGCUUAAUGCUUCCACAACCUUAGGAACCGACUCGCACUCUUCAUUCCCAUGACCCAAGCACCCAUAACGUCCCCAACCCCAUGUGCAAACCCGUCCAUCUCGCCCUACCACAGCUGCAUGCCAAGCCCCGGCUGCAACCACCAUAGGCUGAAGGUUCAAAAGCUGAAAUUGUUCAACUAAUCGAGGAUACUUCUCAUCAGUUCUUGAUCCGUGCCCCAGCUUCCCACCCAAGCCGCAUCCAACAGAGUACACUGACCUGAUACACAUAAAACAGAAUUGCACAUAUCUUAGAAAUAACAUCCAUUGUUAUCACCGAUUAAUUAAUAAUCAUGGUCAUGAAGCCACAUAAGUUAGUUGCCAGGUGUAAUAAAUUAAAAAACUGUCUCAAGGAUUUUAACUUCAAUAUCACAUUCACCGAUGCCCGACUAAAAUGCAAUUUUUGGAAGAUUUUUUUCCCCAUUUGUUUUUCUUUGGGAUAUCUUCUAAUGUCUAAGGUAAACAGAUGGUGCAACUCACAUGCCACAAGGCUGACAUGCCAGAGCAAGAAGGUAACAGUAUCCAGCUGCAAUUUGUACCACCGGUAUAUUCUCAAGUGCCCCCAACAAAGGAUGAGGUUCCACAUCAUUUGGCUCAGUCUGGUGACCUAGUAUUCCAUCACUGCCCCAAGAAAAUGUGUAAACCCUGCCUUCCCUGGACAAUACAGCAGUGAAGAAAUUUCCUAUUGCAGCUUGGACCACAAAUAUGUUUUUCAAAGAUUCAACCAAUUGUGGAGUCGUAACAAGUUUAGUUCCUUGAACUCCAUAUUCAGAUUCACCGAAGGAGUCUUUUCCAAAGGCAUAAACCUGUCCAGCAUCACUAAUUAGCAUUGUCCUGCCAGGUCCAGCAGCUGCUUGGAUAAUUCGAAUGCCUUGCAGGGAUCUGAUUUGUCGAGGUCGCCAUUCCUCUUCAGUGGUGCCAUGACCAAGUUGUCCUGAGCUAUUAGAGCCAAAGGAGUACACUACGCCCUUAGAUGUCACAGCAAUACUAUGACCAGGUCCUGCUAUCGCCUGGGACUUCUCCCUCCUGCAACAUGCUUCUCCGGCCAGUAAAAAUCUCAGAACUAGUUUCCAUGAGCCCCCACAACUUUGCUUCAAAUCUUGACGUUCUUCUGGAGUCAUAGGCUUAAAUAUGGCUCUCUUUUGGCACAUAUCCAGAGCUGCAAGCUCUGAUAUGGACAAUUCAUAGUCAGGGGCAAAAUUUGCAGGCAGCCUAAAGAAGGAACAUGUUGCCUGUAAUAAACACAUUCAAAAUCAAAUCAGCAGCAUUAUCAAUUCUAACAGCUAAAAAUGGUUUCAUAAUUAAAAAGAAUUGCAAAAGGGAACUUGCCUCCAGUUUUGCAAGAUCUUGAGGAUCCAAAUUACAAUCAGUAAGCACAUGGAGGACAAUGGAUGGAUUAGCAGCCAAGGGGAAUUCUCCAGGAGUGGAGUCCCCAAAACAAUGGCGUUGAUUUCGUUGAAACGUCGAUAUAGGAGCAGCAACAAUGGCAGUAAUGGGCUGGUCGGUUAUGUUAUGAUAUUGUAUACUUGAGGUUCCACUAGUUGUGGCAUCCAUGGGCACUGCUUAAAAUAUUGCAGUGCCCAAACUUGGCAGAAAAGACUAUCUAAGUUGCUGGAUAAUUAAUAGAAAAAAAGACACCAAAAUCACUAAAUUAGUCUCUCCAAUGAUCCAGCAUAUCACCUAUAGUUUAUAAAUUUAUUACUGAUAUUAGUUUUAUAUAGCAAAUUAAAUCUUGGUCCAAAGUAUCUACCUUAAAUAAUGCACUAAUCAGCAAGCUUCAAUUCUCAAACCUACAAGUGAAAAUACGCUCAUAAAAUCUCUUUACAUGGCAGGAAGUUGAAAACAAAUUGAAAUAUCAGAAAAAACUCAAACCAAAUGGUGAAGAACAGACAAAGGGUGCUUUAAGGUAUCAACUGAUGUGUAUAUAAAUAAAAGGGAACACUUUAGCAAACUAAUGAAUUAGAUAAUCUAAUGAAAGAACAAGCAAAAAAGAUAAAACCUAGAGAAGCAAAAAGGGAGACCUGAUGGUCCAAUAUUAAGCCUGUCCAAAGCAAUUUAGACCAUCCAAUUGAAUUGGAGACGAAAUGGCAACCUAUAGAAACACGUAACUGAGAAAUAGUAACAAAACUCGCGGAUAUCAUCGACAGGAUGAAUUGGAAACUUAGAAUAGAAGAGUACUAUUCUUGGAUGAAAGGAUAUUCCGCACCCAAAAGAAACUCAGAAAGCAAAGAAUUCCAACAUCAAAAGAGAAACUUCUGUUCACGUAAACUCAUUAAAACAGCCCCAAAAAAAUUAAUUAAUUAAAGUCUAUUGUCGACCCGAUCAAAUAAUAUCCACACAAUCAAAAUCAGAAUCCAUGGUUUCAAAACCCAGAAACAGGGGAUGUGAUUAUCAACACUCUAUACACAAAGAGAACUAAAAAAUUUUAGCUUUUUUAACAUACCCAGAUCAUAAAAACAUCAUCAGAUAAUAGACUGAGUACACUUGACCAUGCCACCCACAAGAAGCACAAGAGAAUCGCAAGACAAAAAAAAAAGAACACAAAACACAUGCUUUAACAGCUUUGUCAUCUGUACAUUAGGAUCGUUACAGAUCGUGAUAUAAC
rnacentral:misc_RNA from 1 species